AAAAAACAACUCUCUCUCUUCCUCUCAGAGCAAACACAAGCUCUGCAAACUUCUAAACACCUCUGACUUCAACCUACCGGAGAAGAUGGCGGUUGCCGGCCAACGGCGGCGGCGCCACCUUCUUCUCCGGCGAACCACCACUUAAAACCUAAAUCUCAAAUACCAACUCCCCUUUAUUCACGCUCGCGGUUGCGGAUCCGGCCACAAAAACAACAAAGUCCCAACCACAAACCC
rnacentral:lncRNA from 1 species